rnacentral:rRNA from 1 species
CCUACGGGUGGCAGCAGUGAGGAAUAUUGGUCAAUGGUCGGGAGACUGAACCAGCCAAGCCGCGUGAGGGAUGAAGGUACAGAGUAUCGUAAACCUCUUUUGUCAGGGAACAAAGGCGGGGACGUGUCCCCGGAUGAGUGUACCUGAAGAAAAAGCAUCGGCAAACUCAGUGCCAGCAGCCGCGGUAAUACGGGGGAUGCGAGCGUUAUCCGGAUUUAUUGGGUUAAAGGGGUGCGCAGGCGGGCCUGUAAGUCGGCGGUGAAAUCGCGGGGCCCACCCCCGCCGAGCCGUCGGAACUGGGAGCCUUGAGUGCGGCGGAGGGAUGCGGAAUGCGCGGUGUAGCGGUGAAAUGCGUAGAUAUCGCGCAGAACCCCGAUUGCGAAGGCAGCGGUCCGUGCCGCCACUGACGCUGAGGUACGAAAGCGCGGGGAUCGAACAGGAUUAGAUACCCUUGUAGUC